rnacentral:misc_RNA from 1 species
UAAAAGAUUAGGAAAAGUAAAAGUAUAUGAUAUAGAAACCUAUAAUAUAAAUGAAUACAAAUAAAAACAAACAAAUCGAACCAAAUUAUAAAAAGUACUUGUUAUUUUUAAAGUUUAAAGAAACUAUGUAAGGCAAAUAGUACUAAAUAAAAAAAGGAGCAAUAACGCCCUCUUGUUUUAUCAAGAGGGAAGCUAUUGCUCCUUUUUUAGUUCAAAAACUCCUAUACAAUCAGACCAAAGUC